GAUGAACGCUGGCGGCGUGCCUAAUACAUGCAAGUCGAGCGAACAGAUAAGGAGCUUGCUCCUUUGACGUUAGCGGCGGACGGGUGAGUAACACGUGGGUAACCUACCUAUAAGACUGGGAUAACUUCGGGAAACCGGAGCUAAUACCGGAUAACAUUUGGAACCGCAUGGUUCUAAAGUGAAAGAUGGUUUUGCUAUCACUUAUAGAUGGACCCGCGCCGUAUUAGCUAGUUGGUAAGGUAACGGCUUACCAAGGCAACGAUACGUAGCCGACCUGAGAGGGUGAUCGGCCACACUGGAACUGAGACACGGUCCAGACUCCUACGGGAGGCAGCAGUAGGGAAUCUUCCGCAAUGGGCGAAAGCCUGACGGAGCAACGCCGCGUGAGUGAUGAAGGGUUUCGGCUCGUAAAACUCUGUUAUUAGGGAAGAACAAACGUGUAAGUAACUGUGCACGUCUUGAUGGUACCUAAUCAGAAAGCCACGGCUAACUACGUG
rnacentral:rRNA from 1 species